GUGGAGAUAAUCCAUGCAAAUCAGAGGCACUGGCUCUCAGUGCUUGAUUCACAAAGAGAACUCAGCUUCAGGAGGUCACUCGUUCACAGCUGCUCCUCCCAUUAUAUUUUUCCCUUAUUGCAGAACUGCUGCAUGUAUACAGUGACUGAAAGGACUCAAUUUACUGCAACUGCUGCCUGGUUUUACUUACAACUUUCUUUAAAGGGGGACUUACCUUCUAUCUGUCUUACUAAGGUGACAGUGCACCAAGGGACAUCGCCUAAAGCUGGGCACGAUGAGACCUAAUCUUGGGUAGGAGCCCAUGAGGGAUUGGAGGUCCUACUGUGACAGGCUUCAUUUGACUUCUUCUUCAUUGCUGUUUCCUCGAAGUAUUUCUAAUGAAGUUGUGAUUAAGGGGUGGUCCUUCUACUGCAAUAGUCGCUAAUCAUAGCUUCAACAAUACCUUUUGGAGAAGCUCCUGGUUGCAGUAGAGUCUACCUGAAGCCAG